AGUUCCAUGGUGUAAUGGUAGCACAACAGUUUUUGGUUCUGUUUGUCUUGGUUCGAAUCCAGGUGGAACUACAA
rnacentral:tRNA from 1 species